ACCUGGUUAGCUCAGUUGGUAAAGCGCUCUACUGGAAAUAGAGCGGUUCUUGGUUCGAUACCUGGACCAGGCG
rnacentral:tRNA from 1 species